UGGAUCGAUGAUGAUUUCUGGUCAUCAAUAUGAGUCCUACAUGAUGGACAUGUGUCUGGAACUCUGAGGCCUGA